GGUCGGGUAGCUCAGUGGUAAAGUAAUCGCCCGGCAGGCGAGAGACUCGGGUUCGAUUCCCGGUCUGGCGG
rnacentral:tRNA from 1 species